GACGAACGCUGGCGGCGUGCUUAACACAUGCAAGUCGAACGGAAAGGCCCUGCUUUUGUGGGGUGCUCGAGUGGCGAACGGGUGAGUAACACGUGAGUAACCUGCCCUUGACUUUGGGAUAACUUCAGGAAACUGGGGCUAAUAACGGAUAGGAGCUCCUGCUGCAUGGUGGUGGUUGGAAAGUUUCGGCGGUUGGGGAUGGACUCGCGGCUUAUCAGCUUGUUGGUGGGGUAGUGGCUUACCAAGGCUUUGACGGGUAGCCGGCCUGAGAGGGUGACCGGCCACAUUGGGACUGAGGUACGGCCCAGACUCCUACGGGAGGCAGCAGUGGGGAAUAUUGCACAAUGGGCGGAAGCCUGAUGCAGCAACGCCGCGUGCGGGAUGACGGCCUUCGGGUUGUAAACCGCUUUCGCCUGUGACGAAGCGUGAGUGACGGUAAUGGGUAAAGAAGCACCGGCUAACUACGUG
rnacentral:rRNA from 1 species